rnacentral:lncRNA from 1 species
AAGACACUGACAGGAAAGACGAUCACUCUGGAGGUUGAGAGCUCUGACACUAUUGACAACGUGAAAGCUAAGAUUCAGGACAAGGAGGGUAUCCCACCGGACCAGCAGAGAUUGAUCUUUGCUGGGAAACAGCUCGAGGAUGGUCGUACCCUUGCCGAUUAUAAUAUUCAGAAAGAGUCUACCCUCCACCUUGUCCUUCGUCUUCGUGGUGGUGAUUUCUGAUGCAGAACUUUGUUAUGUUUUAGUUGUUUCCUUUUUGUGUUAAGGUGUUGAAUGAUGGUGGUGUUUUUUGUUGAUUGGCAAGUUUGCCGUGUUCUGUUUUUGGGGUUUGUGGGUGGU